rnacentral:rRNA from 1 species
GACGAACGCUGGCGGCGUGCCUAAUACAUGCAAGUAGAACGCACCGUUUAUACCGUGUCUCGCUCCACUAUAUACUGCGAGUUGCGAACGCGUGAGUAUCGCGUAGGUAACCUGCCUGGUAGCCUGGGAUAACUUUUUGUAACGAUAGCUAAUACUUCAUACUAUUGAUUAUUGCAUGAUAAUUUAUUGAAAGUUGUUAUUGCAUCACUACCCGAUGGACCUGUGUUGUAUUAGCUAGUAGGUGAGGUAACGGCCCACCUAGGCGACGAUACAUAGCCGACCAGAGAGGGUAAUAGGCCACACUGGGACGGAGACACGGCCCAGACUACUGCGGGAGGCAGAAGGAGGGGAUCCUCGGGAAUGGAAGAAAGGCUGAACAAGCAACGCCGCGUGAGAGAAGAAGGUAGUAGGAUCGUAAAGCUCUGUUGUAAGAGAAGAACGGGAGGGAGAGUGGAAAGUGCACACUGUGACGGUAUCUUACCAGAAAGGGACGGCUAACUACGUG